GCUUUCGUAUGGGUGGGUUGGUUGGUGCACAACAUCGACAGUGUGUUUUUUAGAUAAAAUGACAUAAAAAUAUGGCUGUGCUAAAUGUAUUUGUUGAAAUAUACAAUGUAUUUUUUUUAAUAUAAAUUAAUCUCUAUCCAGUUUUUUUAUGUACAUUGAGACGAUCAGAUGUUUUAGGCCGUGCUAUUUGUACUUGCAGCAUCAUUUUCUUGCACUGGAAGAAGGAUGAUUUAAGGUCGAGCAGUUUUGCUGAGGCGGCACGUCUGCAACAGGUUGGAAUUCAGCCAAGGCUUCGCUGCUUCAGUCCGAUGGUUUUGAUGUCUGGAUAAGGCCAUUCCAGGAAAGUCUUGUGGCAGAACUGAAGAAGCCUCUUGGAUGAGAGGUGAAACGUCUUCAAAAAAAA